CAACGAAAUACCUAAUAUCAUCUUUCUCAACUUCCAGUUUGAGCAGGCUGUUCUUUCUUCGCGCUAGCGACAGUCUCUUCCCUCCCCUCGUUUGCUUCACCUCGUCCCUCUUCAGCCAUCCUCACGGAGUCAGUUUCCCAUCUCGCCUCUGCAUAGAAUCCUCACCCCUCAAUCUUGUCGCAGUAUAGGUGAAAGGAAAGCAUCGCUAGCCCCUUGACAUCGCCGAUGCUUAUCCUUCCUACAUCACUGAAGCAGCUCGUCAGUGCUUCACACUGGUGAGUACUAGGGUUUUCAAUUUUUAGUUAACAUAUCUUUGGGUUUUCAUCUUGCAUAUGACAGAUCUUUAGGGCUUUAUUUAUUUAGUUUUUGUUUUCAUGUAAAACUCUGUUCUAUGUGAAUAUACCUACUGAAUUCAAAUACAACUAACUAAUUCAAAUUUUACAGAUUUUACAAAUUUAGAAUUUGAUUUGUGGGGUUUAAAUAAUUUUGUUUUGUAUGUGGACUAGUAUCAGAUUUUUUUUUCUAAUUUUUUAAUAAUGGGUUGAGUUACAGAUUUAGUCCAUCGCAUCCUCUGCUGUUUGCCUUACUAUUUUAAAGUAAUCAUCGAAUACCCUGUUGUUUGCCUUACUGUUUUAAUAUAACUUACCAGUCUUGAAUUUUUGUGUUUUUUUUUUUAGCAAACAGUGGAGGAUUUUAGGGACCUAGGUUUUGAAUUUAUAUAAAGAUCAAUUUGAUUAUAAGUGAUUAAAAGUGAUUAUAAGAUAAUUUAUUAUCUUCUUUCUUGGUUCCAACAAUUUUUUUUAGUGAAAACACAAGUACAGAGAGUGUUAGACAUUAUGAAUUCUCUAGUUUGCAAAACGAGGGCUAAUAAGAUAUUUUAGCAAUGAUGGUCCGCACACACCUAAUAAUCAACUGUUGUAUGAUUAAUCGAGGGUUGUGAAUUUAAGUUGACUGGUGACAAAAUAAAUUAUGAUGCUU
rnacentral:misc_RNA from 1 species